UACGGAGGGUGCAAGCAUUGAUCGGAAUCAUUGGGCGUAAAGGGCGCGUAGGCGGCCGAGUAAGUUAGAUGUGAAAUACCAUGGCUCAACUAUGGUGCUGCAUUUAAAACUGCUCGACUUGAACGUAGUGUGAGAAAACAGAAUUUCGCAUGUAGCGGUGAAAUGCGUAGAUAUGCGAAGGAAUACCGGUGGUGAAGACGGUUUUCUAUGCUACAGUUGACGCUGAGGCGCGAGAGCAAGGGGAGCAAACAGG
rnacentral:rRNA from 1 species